AUUGAACGCUGGCGGCAUGCUUUACACAUGCAAGUCGAACGGUAACAGGCCUUCGGGUGCUGACGAGUGGCGAACGGGUGAGUAAUGCAUCGGAACGUACCCAGAGGUGGGGGAUAACGCAGCGAAAGCUGUGCUAAUACCGCAUGCGAUCUGUGGUUGACAGCGGGGGACCGCGCAGCAAUGUUUGGCCUCGCGCCUUUGGAGCGGCCGAUGGCGGAUUAGCUAGUUGGUGGGGUAAAGGCCUACCAAGGCGACGAUCCGUAGCUGGUCUGAGAGGACGACCAGCCACACUGGGACUGAGACACGGCCCAGACUCCUACGGGAGGCAGCAGUGGGGAAUUUUGGACAAUGGGCGCAAGCCUGAUCCAGCAAUGCCGCGUGCGAGAAGAAGGCCUUCGGGUUGUAAACCGCUUUUGGCAGGAACGAAGCGGUGUCCGCUAAUACCGGGCGCUAAUGACGGUACCUGCAGAAUAAGCACCGGCUAACUACGUG
rnacentral:rRNA from 1 species